rnacentral:rRNA from 1 species
GAUGAACGCUGGCGGCGUGCCUAAUACAUGCAAGUCGAGCGAACAGACGAGGAGCUUGCUCCUCUGACGUUAGCGGCGGACGGGUGAGUAACACGUGGAUAACCUACCUAUAAGACUGGGAUAACUUCGGGAAACCGGAGCUAAUACCGGAUAAUAUAUUGAACCGCAUGGUUCAAUAGUGAAAGACGGUUUUGCUGUCACUUAUAGAUGGAUCCGCGCCGCAUUAGCUAGUUGGUAAGGUAACGGCUUACCAAGGCAACGAUGCGUAGCCGACCUGAGAGGGUGAUCGGCCACACUGGAACUGAGGCACGGUCCAGACUCCUACGGGAGGCAGCAGUAGGGAAUCUUCCGCAAUGGGCGAAAGCUUGACGGAGCAACGCCGCGUGAGUGGUGAAGGUCUUCGGAUCGUAAAACUCUGUUAUUAGGGAAGAACAAAUGUGUAAGUAACUAUGCACGUCUUGACGGUACCUAAUCAGAAAGCCACGGCUAACUACGUG